rnacentral:rRNA from 1 species
UACGAAGGGGGCUAGCGUUGCUCGGAAUUACUGGGCGUAAAGCGUGCGCAGGCGGUUUUGUAAGCCAGAUGUGAAAUCCCCGGGCUUAACCUGGGAAUGGCAUUUGGGACUGCAAGGCUGGAGUACGGCAGAGGAGACUGGAAUUCCUGGUGUAGCAGUGAAAUGCGUAGAGAUCAGGAGGAAUACCGAUGGCGAAGGCAGGUCUCUGGGCUGAUACUGACGCUCAUGCACGAAAGCGUGGGGAGCAAACAGG